UACGUAGGGCGCAAGCGUUGUCCGGAUUUACUGGGCGUAAAGAGCGCGCAGGCGGCUCGUCAAGCCUGACGUGAAAGCCCCCGGCUCAACCGGGGAGGGUCGUCGGGGACUGGCGGGCUUGAGGUCGGCAGGGGUUGGUGGAAUUCCCGGUGUAGUGGUGAAAUGCGCAGAUAUCAGGAGGAACACCGGUGGCGAAGGCGGCUUGCUGGGCCUUACCUGACGCUGAGGAGCGAAAGCGUGGGGAGCGAACAGG
rnacentral:rRNA from 1 species